AAUAGAUACCCGGGUAGUCCAUGCCGUAAACGAUGUCUACUAGCCGUUGGGGCCCUUGAGGCUUUAGUGGCGCAGCUAACGCGAUAAGUAGACCGCCUGGGGAGUACGGUCGCAAGACUAAAACUCAAAUGAAUUGACGGGGGGCCCGCACAAGCGGUGGAGCAUGUGGUCUAAUUCGAUGCAACGCGAAGAACCUUACCUGGCCUUGACAUACAGAGAACUUUCCAGAGAUGGAUUGGUGCCUUCGGGAACUCUGAUACAGGUGCUGCAUGGCUGUCGUCAGCUCGUGUCGUGAGAUGUUGGGUUAAGUCCCGCAACGAGCGCAACCCUUUUCCUUAUUUGCCAGCACUUCGGGUGGGAACUUUAAGGAUACUGCCAGUGACAAACUGGAGGAAGGCGGGGACGACGUCAAGUCGAUCAUGGCCCUUACGGCCAGGGCUACACACGUGCUACAAUGGUCGGUACAAAGGGUUGCGUACUGCGCGAGCAGAUGCUAAUCUCAAAAAGCCGAUCGUAGUCCGGAUCGC
rnacentral:rRNA from 1 species